CGGAUUUGCUGGAAGUUGGGAGUCGCCCAGAACCACAUCCUGUUUGGCUCUGGCACUGAUUCAAUCAUGCCAAUGUCACCCGGACAAAAGAACUUUCUACACAGGCUUAAGAAAGAGACGCGGCACCUGCAGCAGGAAAGGAGCCCAGCCGGAGAGUUCACCGCACCAGUCAGCGAGCACAGAGUGCUGGACGGAUGACCAGUGGGGCCUUGGGGCAGUGUGGGGCGCAGGAAAAGAGUACCUGGUCCCGCAGUGACUGCAGUGAGGAGGACCCUGCAUUUUUACCCACCCUCCUCACCUGGCACCACUGCUGUACAGGCUGUCAGCUCUGCUCCGGUUCUCAAGUUCACUCGGCAAAAAGCUGAUCUGCCUCCGUGUUUAGAAGCUCCUCACUGGCCAGGAGGGUGGCUCACCUCUACACGUCUGGGCUGGAGAGAACAAAGGAUGUGCUGUUGGGAAAAGAGAUGGGCCUCGGCCCAACUGGGAGGCCUGGGCCCAGCUGCCAUGGCGCACCAAGCGAGGGAUAGAUUUAAAUUCAUAGAAAAGUCGUGGAGAUAAUACAGAGAAUUCCCACAGGCCUCCCGCCACCCGGCUUCCCUGUGAGUGUCUUACAGGAGGACGGCACCUUUGUCACAAUGGAUGUCGGUGCACUAUCAUCAAACAAUAAAGCCUGUCCUUCAUCCGGGUCUCCUAUGUUUGUCCCUGAGGUCCUUUUUUUCUGUUCCAGGAUCCCAUCCAGAUCACCACAUGACAUUAGGUGUCGUGUCUCUUUAAGCUCCUCUUGGCUAGGGCAUCUCCCCAGACAUUGUGUGUUUUGGGUGAC
rnacentral:lncRNA from 10 species